CCCUUAGAUGUUCUGGGCUGCACGCGCGCUACACUGAUGCACUCAACGAGUUUACGACCUUGCCCGAUAGGGUUGGGUAAUCUUUUUAAAAUGCAUCGUGAUGGGGAUAGAUUAUUGCAAUUAUUAAUCUUCAACGAGGAAUUCCUAGUAAGCGCGAGUCAUCAGCUCGUGCUGAUUACGUCCCUGCCCUUUGUACACACCGCCCGUCGCUCCUACCGAUUGAGUGCUCAGGUGAAUAAUUCGGACUGCAGCAAUGUUUGGAUCCCGAACGUUGCAGCGGAAAGUUUAGUGAACCUUAUCACUUAGAGGAAGGAGANGUCGUAACA
rnacentral:rRNA from 1 species